GGGUUUCUGUUGGGAAGGGGCUGCCCCAUUUGUGCUUUUCCAGGGGCAGGAGAAUCCAGUGAGAGCCAGUGCGACGCAGUGGUUAAGAGCGGUAGACCUGUAAUCUGGUGAACCGGGUUCGCGUCUCUGCUCCACCACAUGCAGCUGCUGGGUGACCUUGGGCUAGUCACACUUCUCUGAAGUAUCUCAGCCCCACUCACCUCACAGAGUGUUUGUUGUGGGGGAGGAAGGGAAAGGAGAAUGUUAGCCGCUUUGAGACUCCUUCGGGUAGUGAUAAAGUGGGAUAUCAAAUCCAAACGCUUCAUCUUCUUCUUUUCUUCUUCCCUGCAGGGCCUUUGAGGCUCCCUUUGCUUCUUCCUCUCUCCCAGGUUGUUUUGGCUCCUUGACUCUUCAGGAAGGAUGAAAGAGAUGGAUCCUGCAAAGCUAGUGAGGAUGGAAGGGGGAAGAUGGACGGUUGACCUGGUCAGGUUGUCUCCUGCAUCCCUCCUCACAACCUCUGAGCAUUCCUCUCUAGGGCUCUCAGAGAGAUCUGGUGAGUUCCAGGGGAGGGGAGAUGGGGACAUGGGGGGAUGGAGCCAGAGAGGUAUUGGGGCUUGCUCAGCCUGGGGGUGGGGGGAGGCAGACAGGCAGGCGGAGAUUGAGAAGGUGAGCACCUUUCUGGGCUCCACCACCUGCCUGCCUGCGCCUUUGUCAUCUGCAGGGAAUUUGUGCUAGGAAUACAUCACAGCUCCCCGGCCACCACGAUGUAUUGGCAGCUCAAAAUGUCUAAUACCAGUGCCGUGGCCUGAAUGCCCUACCAAUGUCAAAAAACUUACUGCUCCAUCACACGGCAGUAGAAGCAAUGAACUCUGCAUAAGGAAGUCAAGGAGGAGAAUCGUGGGAUCAUGGACCCUCUUGGUAAAGCUCCCCGUUGGAUCAUAAGAUCAGUUUCGAAAUUCCAUACAUACAUUCCCCCCCCCCCAGGAGAUCCUACAAUAUAGCUCCCUUUCUGUUCUUCAGACAUAGAAUAUUCUGCCAGUUUUAACUUUUCAAUGAUAGUUACAAUUCCGUCACAUGACUCUGGCAGUCUUUCUUUUCUUCAUGUCUUAGACCAAAAAAGUUUCUUAUAAAAUUGUGAUGACAUCUUCUAAAUUUAUAAACUUUCUCUAAAUUGUGAAGAAUUUCUCUGGCAGUAAGACAUCUGCCUUAAUACAUUGUAUCACUUCAAAUCUGUAUAACACUGUUCUCAUUCUCCUAUUCCACUGUGUAAAACUUCCUCUAUGCAUCCUAAAAAUUUCUUUCUACUUUUCAAUCUGCCUUUAAAAAUUGUUUCUGAGAGGAUAAUUAAGAGUACACUGGCAAAGAGGUCAAAAUGUUAAUGUCAGUUUCUGAGGUAAAACGUGUCACUUUACAACUCUGCACCUGUCUUUCUGGCUUAUUGCAGGAAUGGCUAUAACAUAUGGUUCAUCAUUAAUGGUCAGUGUAUGAGUUCUGGGAUCAUGAAUUGGUUUAAACUGGAAAACAAAAACGGGAUGUAGGAGAGAACAGAGAGCAUUCAACAUCACAUAGCUGGUUGUCUAUUCAGGAGCUCUUCGUGGUUGUUGUCUUAAAUUAAGAUUAAGGAGAGCCAGUGUGGCGCAGUGGUUAAGAGCGGUGGACUCGUAAUCUGGUGAACCAGGUUCGCAUGUCCGCUCCUCCACAUGCAGCUGCUAUUAAUGUUAGUUUCUGAGGUAAAACGUGUCAUUUUACAACUGUGCACCUGUCUUUCUGGAUUAUUCGUGGUUUUCUGGAUUUUGUGGGCCCCAAACCCAUUUUCUGUGGUAUUUAUAUGUGUGGAGGUUGUCCCGGGUUGUUUGACCCUUGAAAAACAAAGUUUUUUUUCUUCUAGAAAAGGCUCCACAAGAUUCUCUGUUUAGAAUUUAAACAGAACACAUUACAUUACUUGAUAUACUAAACACGUUUACAUGUGCUUAUAUCUAAUAGAUCUAUAUAUCUAUUCUUUACUGAUUUAGAUUAUUUCUACAUUUAUUCCAUUUUUUAUUCAAGACAAGCUACACUCAAAAAACCAAAAUAAUUCAACAUCAAGUAAUUCUGCUACAUUAGGUAUGAAGAGGGAAUUACAAGUGCUUCUAUCUAUAUGAGACAUUACAGACUUUUUCUGAGGCACAUAGCAGCAUAAAACAGGCAGCAGGUGCUCUCACAGAAAACCUCUCUCUCACUCGACAGUUGAGAACAGACCUAACUGAAAAAACGGCCUUCUGGAGUGACAGUCACCCUUUCCAUAGCAACUUGGAGGCAACAUUCACACACAGAGUUGUUAGGGAAGUUGAGGUAAUUUCUGUCAGGUUUGGGUUUCUGUUUUAGCCUCUGCCCGUUUUUGUUUUUUUUAAUUUCUUUUUAUUGAAUUUCACUUAAAUAACCAAAAGGAAAAACAAAACAACAGUUACAGAAAAAAGAAGAAAAAAUAAAAAAUAUCCAUACAUAACACAAAAAUAACGUCAAUUUCCAUUACAGUUCCUUGUCUUAUUCCUUGAAUCUUUAUAUCUUUAAAUAUUUAGAUCUUUCCUCUACACACCUAUUGAACUCCUUCCCUCCCGAUUUCGGGCUUCUUAAUACAAAUUCUUUCUUUUUCCUGCAGCUAAGAGUUAUUAAUGGUUUGCGCAUCAUAAGAUUUAUAUCAAACCUGCAGUAGUUUUUAAGUUUUUGUAAUUUCCUUCAAUAUAUACCAUAAAUUUAUUCCAAUCACUAAUAAACUUUGUAUUUUUUUGGUUUCUAAUUUUUUGCGUCAUUUUUGCUAGUUCAACAUAUUCAAAUAAUUUUGUUUGCCAAUCUCUGACCGUUGGGGUAUUUGAGCUUUUCCAAUUCUGUGCAAUUAAUAUUCUAGCCGCUACUGUCGAAUAUUGGAAUAGUAUUUUAUCCUCUUUUUUAAUUUCAUCCCCAAUUAUUCCUAGUAGGAAGGCCUCUGGUCUUUUAGGGAAGGUAUAUUUAAGUAUUUUUUUUAACUCAUUAUAAAUCAGGUCCCAAAAUUUCUUCAUUUCCUCACAGGUCCACCACAUAUGGUAGAAAUUACCUUCUUUGAUUUUACACUUCCAGCAGGCCUUAUUUCCUGUUUUGUACAUUUUUCCUAAUUUUGCUGGUGUGAUGUACCACCUAUACAUCAUCUUUUCUAAAUUUUCUCUAAGUAUGACGCAUGCCGUAAAUUUCAUCCCGCAACUCCAUAAUUUCGACCACUUUUCAUAUUCUAUAUUGUAUCCCAAGUCCAUUGCCCAUUUUGUCAUAACCGCCUUUAUUUCUUCAUCUUUAGUAUCCCAUUCCAAUAAUAUAUCACACAUUUUGGAUAAUAACUUGGUUUUGCCUUCUAUUAUUUCUAUCUGAAAUUUGGAUUUUUUCUCACUUAUCCCUACUUUUUUGUCUUCCAUCCAUAUUGCAUUUAUUUGAUGAUACUGCAGCCAGCCUGUUAAUUUAUCUUUCAACUCUUCAUAUGUUCUCAAUUUCCAGCCACUUUCUGAUCUUAUCAGUAGGUCUUCGUAGGUCAAUCUUUCUCCUUCCAUAUUUGCUUUUUGGUUGUUAGAAUGUCAAUUGGUGAUAACCACCAGGGUGUCUUCCAUUCUAAAAGUUUUUGUUUUUCUCCCAAACUUCAUAUAGUGGCCCUCUAAUAAUAUGACUUGAAAACCCUUUAUGUACCUUUUCUUUAUUUAGCCACAAGUAGGCAUGCCAACCGAACCUAUUGUUGAAACCCUCUAGGUCUAACAGAUCAGUAUUUUCCAAAUUGAUCCAAUCUUUGAUCCAGCAAAGGCAGGAGGCCUCGAAGUAUAAUUUCAGAUUUGGCACUGAGAAUCCCCCUCUUUCUUUUCAAUCUGUAAGUAAUUUAAAUCUAAUUCUCGGUCUUUUCCCUUGCCAUAUAAAUUUCGAAAGAGUUAAAUUGUUGUUUAUAAUCAAUUUGACAGAUUGAUUCGAAUAAAUUGCUUUUAUUCCUUCCAUAAAUUCACCCUCUAGCCCUGCUUUCUCCAUGCUUUUUAGUAGGAACGACCAUGAAACAUUGUCAAAUGCCUUCUCCGCAUCGAUGAAAAUUAGCGCCGCAGGUACUUCAUUCUUGCACUCCAAGUAUUCAAUGAUAUUUAUGGUAUGCCUUACAUUGUCUUUGAGUAACCUAUUUGGAAGGAAUCCUGCUUGAUCCUUAUGAAUAAGAUUUACUAGACAUCUCUUGAGUCUACUUGCCAUUACCUCUGCGAAGAUUUUGUAAUCAUUAUUUAAUAAUGAUAUGGCCCUGUAGUUUUUAAUAUUAAGUUUGUCCGUAUCAGGUUUAGGGAUCAUCGUGAUGUGGGCCUCUUUCCAUGUCUCUGGUACCUUUCCUCCUCUCAGUAUAUUAUUCAUGAUGUCACAUAACACUGGGGUUAAUUGAUUUUCUAAUACUUUAUAAUAUUUAGCUGACAGUCCAUCUGGUCCCGGGGCUUUCCCUAAUUUCAUCUUUCUUAUCGCAUCUUGGACCUCUUCUACUUUUAUGGGUUUAUUUAAUUGGGCUCUUUCUUCCUCUGUUAUAGUCUUUCCGCUACAGUCUUCUAAGUAUUUUUCUAUUCGGAUUAUUUCUUCCUCUUCCUUUUUGUACAAUUUCUCAUAAAAUUUGAGGAAAUUUUCCUGUAUUUCUUUUGGGUCUUCUAUUAGUUGCUCUUCCAUUUUUAUCUUAUUUAUCACAUUUUGUUUUUGCCUUCUUCGCAAUUGCUAGCUAGUAAUUUACCUGUUUCGUUAGCUGAUUGAAAUAUUUCUGUUUCAUUAACUUAAUUUUCCAUUCAAUUUCUUGACUUAUUAGCAUUGAAUACUGUGUUUGUAGUAUUUUGUUAUUUGUAUUUAUAUACUCCAGGAAUUCUGGGUCAAGUUUUUCCCCUCCAGCCCGCAAUGUUCCAACUGAGGACUGAUAGGGGAGUUCCUGUUGUAACCAUUCGUUGUCAUUUCGGGAGGGAUGGAGUCCUUGGAGGCAAGGCAGACCCCACGAAAAAGUCAGUUAUUUUACUUUGCAUAGCAGGCACCUGCUGAAGGUACCUAGUCUUGAAGUUGGUAGUGAGGUAUUCUGACUGGGGCGACAAAACGGGUCUCCGCUGGCUAUCCCAAGGGCGGACACUUCAGUGGAAACUCCACAGGAUUUGCUGAGACUGCCCCACCGCAAGGUCUAAAGAUCGCCGAUGAAACCAUUUGGUUUAUAUGUCCGGUCGGGUCUUCAAUCAAAUCCGGGCCAUUUUUUGAUGUAGGUGGGACACUCCCUGACCGAAUGCUGGCAAAGGUACAGGGGAUGUUCGGCGUACUGGUACCGUUUGUAUGUCGGGUCUAUGCUGCUCAGGGGAGUAUGAGGACUCCAGUUCCGGCAUUGAUGGAUUAGAUGGUAAGGAGUUGUUUUGGUGGAAGGAACUCUGAGUUACACUCUCAGCGGGGGACUCUUGGAGGGCGAGUCAAAAUUUAUCAAGAGUUGGGAUGAGGGGCCAGCUUGAGAGGCACCACCUGGUUCUGCCAAGCGUCGGUGGGUUUUGCCCACAAGUGGGGAGGCAUGGGUUUAGGAGCUGGACUAAGGUAUGGAAGACUUCCUGCUUCCUUAAACCACGACUCCGAAAAGCUGGCAGAGUUAUCCUGAAAAGUGGGCAGGACUUUUCCGCUCUUCAGGACAUGUAUGAGCUGAUGAUUAAGUACUUCUAGUCUAUCAAUUAUUUCUUGUUGUUCUCUCGGUGGAAGGUCGCCAAAGGUGGCUAAAAGCUCUCUUUCCUCCGGCGGGGUCAGAGAAUUACUUGCGCCAGUGGGUUUCUUUAGAGCUCGUGGGGACGAAGGGUGAGUCCAGUUUCGGUGCGGAUGGAUAUCCUCCAGGAGAGGAGGCUCGAUGUCCCGAGGUACUCCCGACCUCUCCGACAGAGUCCACUCCGCACCGUGACCAGCAAGUAGGAGGGGGUGGAUCAUGCUAUCCAUAAAAACUCUUGUUGGGAUGAUAUCGUACCUUGCCAAGAGUGGUUUCUGCCUGAUGAUAGCUGAAGGGAUCCUUGGAGAGUAAACGCAAGCAUCACUUUCUGUUGCCCGAGGUGCUGGUUCAAAGGUAAUACUGCAAUGAGAUCACAUUGUGAGAUUUCUAUGUUUAGGAGAUUGCUUAGGUGCUUUUAACCCCACUCAGAGUAAGCCACCUUGGUGACCCUGCCCCGAUGUUUAGGCAGAUUUUCUUAGGUUGCAGGGACAAUGCUUGAUGUUUCAGUGCAGGAUUUGGUUUAUAUUUAGGAUCACACUUCUUUUUUUGGUAGAAGGCAAGGACCUCUGGCACUUCAAUUCCCCUGUAUCUACGGUUGGUUUAAACUUUGACCAGAAGUUAUCCAUUUUCUGUUCGAAGUUACAUAACUGGGAGGCUAGCACAUCAAUCUUCUUGAAUAUGCAAUUAAGGGUUCUGACCACAAGAUGGAGAUGUUCAUGUUGUUCUUGUCUUGCGCAGUCCUCAGUUCCAGCGUCCUGCACCACCCUCAAUGGGACACUCCCUCUUCCUCCAAGCUUGCCGUCCACAGUUUUAGUCUGGGGAAAAUAAUUCCUCUGGUGUUGACGUUGUUUCUGGAGACAUUAGAGGGUAGAAACGGUUCUGAGUUUUCACCCUAUAGCAGAGUUCAAUAGGGUCACUCCGAUUGUCAGACACGGGGGGGUCGAUUUUUAAUUGUUUGGCUCUGGGGGGGGCAGAGCCUCGUCACAAUCCCUUAGGCGUUUGCCUUGGCCCAUCGUUAUGAGUCUUUUAAAAUAGCAGUGCUUAAAAGAUAAUAAAAGGUAGUAGAAGUAGAAAUACAACUGGAUGUGAGCUGGCGGAAAACCAGUAAGUCGAAGGCUGCUUCCAAGGCUGCCGGAGACUGCAAUUAUCUGCUCAUUAAAGCAAGAUUCUUUCUUUUCAGGGCAUACACAAUUUUAUUCCUUUUGGUUUUUUCAUUCACACCGUUCACGUUCCAUGACAAAAUUUUCAAAUUCAUUGUUAUAUUUACUCUCCAAUCUACAAACAACUAAUACUUUAAAUUCGAGUGGUUUUGUUUUCUGUAUCCUCCUCCUCUUCUUCUUCCUCUUCUUCCGCUACUCCCUCUUCCUCUUCUUCUUCCUCUACUUCUUCUCUCUUUCCUUUAUCCUCCUGUUCUUUUCCUUUCUCUCUUCUUCUUCUCUCCUCUAGGUCUCCGUUUCUUCCUCCAUAUCCUCUACUUUUCCGAGAUCUUUCUCAUAUCUACGUAGAAAUUUGUUCACUUCUUGGAUCUCAGUGAUCUUAAAUCUUUUAUCUUUAUAAAAAAAGGAGAUCCCUUCCGGGAACUCCCAUCUGUGUUGUAUGCCGUUCUUUUUUAGAACACUUACUAGCUGUUUGUAUCCUUCUCUUUUGCGUAGGAGUCUGGUUGGUAUUUCUUUUAAGAUGAUAAUUGGUCUUCCUUCAAUUAUUAAUUUCUUUUGGUAACUUACUCUUACUAUUGUAUUUUUCAUCUCUAUCGAGUUGAAUAUGACUAAACAGUCUCCUGGGACCUUUUUUGAUUUUACUUGUUUGGACCUUAUUUUUAUUCUAAAAGCGUUUUCUAUAGUGUAUGCUACUUCUUUCAAUUCUAACCAUUUCGCUAGUUCUUUGGUCAUUUUUUCUUCGAUAUUCUCAUUUGUUUCUUCUCUCACUCCUCUAAACUUUAACUGUUUCUGUUUCAUUUCUAUCAUCGCUAAAUUAUCCAAAACUUGAUCUUGAUUUCUGUUCAGUUCUCCUAGUUCCUCUUUUAUCCUAUCUGUCUCCUUCCUUUGUUCUUUCAUUUCUUUUUGUAUUUUUUUAUUUGAUUCUUCCAUAAUCUUUGAUCGAACUGUUAAGUCUUUAAUUUUACUUGACAAUUCUCCUACUGCUCCCUCUAUUUUCUUGUCUAUCAACUCGUGCAUCUCUCCUAGCUUUUUUCCAUAUGAAUUUCACUCUGUUUGAAUUCCUCCUUUAUUUUUAGCCAUAAAAUAUCUAAAUCCUUAAUUUCUUGUCGGGAUGCUUUCCUAUCUGAUGGUGUUCCUCCUAUUUUUCCCCCGUUUUUUCCAGACAUUUUCUCCUUCUCCAUUCCCCCCUCUUUAAGUCUCUUAUAAUAUUUAUACUCUCCUCUAGGGGGUGCACAAUCUUGAUGAAACUUAAUUAAUUAUCAAACAAUAAAUUCAACAGCUUCUUCUUGAGCAGUCUUAUUCCAAAUUUUUCACCAAUUGGUAUCAAAAAUAAAGAUAUGGAAUGGUUCAAUAAGUUUAACAAAUCGGAUUAUUCUCAGGUUCCUAUUGAUACACUAAAGUAUUGUUUAUAUUUGUAAGUUUUCCCAAUCGAAAUCUAAAAUCCCAGAUACCAAUUACUUUCCCAAAUCAAGUUCCCAAUUAAUGCACUUACAGUCUGCACACUCUAAAUGUAAAUAAAGUCCAAAAUAAAUUCACAUUUAACACACGUUAGUUCGAAUUAAUUCAAUAAUGAUUUUGUUAAGAGUUUGUUAGUCAUGUAAAAAUAAAGGCCUUAUAAUAAGGCCGUUAAUGAAGUGUUAAUCUUGCAGUAGAGCCUUUAUAUGAAAUAGCCAUUCAAGAAAUCAUGGGUUUAGCGUGUAUCCUACUUUUGUUUUAAAUAAGGGUACUCUAUUCUUUCUUUUUGUUCGAUCUUCAGCCACUUGGUUAGCUUAAUCCAGUUCAAGGGAGGGUAGACAGUAGUUAGAGAUCUAUCUGAGUAGAAUCCCUUCUAUGUCCAGAAACAGGCAGCAAUCUCCAAACCCCCAAAAUAAUCCAAAAUAAUCCGUGAGAGAUAAUGCCGAUGAAGAUAAUAAUGAAAAAUGAGCAUGGUCUCUAAUCACGGUCUCUGAUGUCCAAUCUGAUGGUUUCCAAACAAUUUAGGCUUCCAAAAAAGAAAAGAGAGAAAGGGAGAGUCUUAGCUUUAAUUGUUUAUUUUCAGUUCUAAAUUCUAAGUUUUUCAGCCACUUGCUGGCUUAAUCCAAUAUAGGGUUGUAUUGAUAAGAAAUCCAGGGGUCCAAAAUUAAAUCUAGUCCGUCCGAUAAAGAAGGGUAUAUACCUCAGUAAUCUUAAGCACACCCUCUAUGACUCAGUUCAUAUAUAAUUCAGUUCCAGAAAAUUCCAGGCCUUUGAGAGUCUGGGGUAUUCAAAAUUUAAUCCAACCGCUCAAAAGAGAGAAGAUAAAUGUCCUAAUAAAAAUAUGUAUGAAACCCUAUAAGCUCAAUUCGUGUGAACUCUCAAACAGCUUAGAAAAAAGAAGUAGAGAAGAAAUCAAAAAAACAAGUUCUUAAAAUGGGAGAGGUUAGAGUCCAAAAUUGAGAUUUGAAGAAGAGAAAAAAGAAGAUUUUUUCCUAAAGCAUUUGCUUAUUCAAUUGCCCAAACUGUAAUAUAGAAAGUUCAGAAUUUGAAACAGGGGGAGUAAUGAGUGGGGGUUAUUAUUUUAAAACCUUUGCGUUUUAUUCCAUUUUACCUCUUCUCCCCCUCAUUUUCCUUUGUAAAUCCGUGUUAAAGUUUCAGGCUUCAGCAUAUUUCUCUCUUUGUAACCACUCUGUUCAACUCUUUCUCUUAUUCUUUAGUGUUCUCCCCAAAAAGAGAAAUACAAAGUUUCUAAAGGUCCUUUCCGUUACUUUUAUUUUAUUUAGUUUCCUUUGCCUCACUUAAUAGCUGCUGAGGACUUUCACUUUUCUGUUUCUACAGCGGGUGAAUGGUCACUUCCUUUCUUCACUCUUACGACUUUGUAUCCUGCGCCAUAUUAACUCCGAAAAUCAGGUCGGGCUCCUCAUUUAAAUCCUUUUACAUCCAGAGCUCACUUAGUGUAUAAUCCAGAAAAUUAGCCAAGAAUUGUUCCAAAAACACUAAGGGUUCUGUUCUUAAAGUUAUGGAGGUUUGUCGCUUUUCCAGUGGAAGCUAGAGGCAUCGCAACACGGGGUCCGCAGAGCUUACCAUUCGCGUUUCUCAGUCCCGUCGCUCCCGGGUCCUUUAAAAAAACCCCGAAAAACGUCGGAACCACUCCAACGCUGCUGGAUAGUUUAUCCCUCAAGGGAACCCCCCUUGAGAUUUUGGGGGUCGCAGUGCCUUUGCGUUGCCCCCAAGCCCCCGUGUAGCUCGGAGAGGCCCUUCCGUGACUUCUCUACGCUCCCUGCUGCUUGCGAUCCAAACCGGAAGUCCAAUCUGCCCGUUUUUUAAAGAGAAGACCAAUGUUAGAGUUGGAGUGGAUUUCAUGAUUGUGGCAACAAAAAUCCGUCCUAGAAAAGAGGUCGACAAAUGCUGGUCGACAAAGGCCAUGACCUCUGUAGAAAGACCUCACAUCUUCUGUUCUUCCUCUUUGACAAAUUUUCAUUAGCAUUAUUCAAUAAUUGGGGGCUCCGUUUCUUCCUGAAGAUCUAAUUAGUUUCUGUCUUUGUUGUAGGUGGUGAUGAAUUGGAAAUGAAGAAUGGGGGAGACCAUGACAAAAUCCACACAGUGGAGAAGCCAAAUCAAAAUUGGGAGUGUGGAGAGAGCUCCAGUCAGAGUUCCCGUUCCCACCAAAGAACUCACAGUGGGAAGAAAGGCUAUCAGUGCUCAGAAUGUGGGAAGAGCUUCAGUCGGAAGGACAAUCUCACUUCGCAUCAAAGAAUUCAUACUGGAGAGAAACCCUAUCAGUGCUUGGAAUGUGGAAAGAGGUUUCGUCAGAGUGGGGCUCUCACUUCCCACAAAAGAAUUCAUACAGGAGAGAAACCCUAUCAGUGCUUUGAAUGUGGAAAGAGCUUCAGUCACAGCAACAAUCUCACUUCCCACCAAAGAAUUCAUACAGGAGAGAAACCCUAUCAGUGCUUUGAAUGUGGAAAGAGCUUCAGUCAGAGCAUCCAUCUCAUGUCCCAUCAAAUAAUUCAUACAGGGGAGAAACCCUAUCAGUGCUUGGAAUGUGGAAAGAGCUUUUGUCAGAGUGGGCUUCUCACUUCCCACCAAAGAAUUCAUACUGGAGAGAAACCCUAUCAGUGGGUGGAAUGUGGGAAGAGCUUCAGUCGGAAGGACAGUCUCACUUCCCACCAAAGAAUUCAUAUAGGGGAGAAACCCUAUCACUGCUUGGAAUGUGGAAAGCACUUCAGUCAGAGGAGAAGUCUCGUUUCCCAUCAAAGAAUUCAUACAGGGGUGAAACCCUACCAGUGCUUGGAAUGUGGAAAUAGCUUCAGUCAGAGAACCCAUCUCAUUUCCCAUCAAAUAAUUUGUACAGGUGUGAAACCCUAUCAGUGUUUAGAAUGUGGAAAGAACUUCAGUCAGAGCAGUAGUCUCGCUUCCCAUCAAAUAAUUCAUACAGGGCUGAAACCCUAUCAGUGCUUGGAAUGUGGAAAGAGCUUCAGUCACAGGCGGAGUCUCACUUCCCAUCAAAUAAUUCAUACAGGGGUGAAACCCCAUCAGUGCUUAGAAUGUGGAAAGAACUUCAGUGACAGCCACAAUCUCGCUUCCCAUCAAAGAAUCCAUACAGGGGAGAAACCCUAUCAAUGCUUGGAAUGUGGAAAGAGUUUUCGUGUGAGUGGGGCUCUCACUUCCCAUCACAGAAUUCAUACAGGGGAGAAACCCUAUCAGUGCUUGGAAUGUGGAAAGAGCUUCAGUUGGAAGGACAGUCUCGCUUCCCACCAAAGAAUUCAUACAGGGGAGAAACCCUAUCACUGUUUGGAAUGUGGAAAGCACUUCAGUCAGAGGAGCAGUCUCGCUUCCCAUCAAAGAAUUCAUACAGGGGUGAAACCCUACCAGUGCUUGGAAUGUGGGCAGAGCUUCAGAAAGAGGGCAGGUCUCACCCGCCAUCAAAGAACUCAUACAGUGGUACCUUAGGUUAAGAACUUAAUUAGUUCUGGAGGUCGAUUCUUAACCUGAAACUUUUUUUUUCUUUCAAAAAUUUUAUUAGUUUUUACAAUAUCAACGACAAACAAAAACAUAAAACAAACAAAACAUAACAAACAUAAAUCAUAACCUUAUUGAAAAUAAC